GCUCCGGUGGCCUAGUGAUUAGAGCAUCCGCCUCGGAUGCGGGAGGUCGUGGGUUCGAUCCUCCGUCGAUUCA